CCUACGGGUGGCAGCAGUGGGGAAUAUUGGACAAUGGGCGAAAGCCUGAUCCAGCCAUGCCGCGUGUGUGAAGAAGGCCUUCGGGUUGUAAAGCACUUUCAGUGGGGAAGAAAGCCUUGGGGCUAAUACCCUCGAGGAAGGACAUCACCCACAGAAGAAGCACCGGCUAACUCCGUGCCAGCAGCCGCGGUAAUACGGAGGGUGCGAGCGUUAAUCGGAAUUACUGGGCGUAAAGCGCGCGUAGGCGGUCUGAUAAGCCGGUUGUGAAAGCCCCGGGCUCAACCUGGGAACGGCAUCCGGAACUGUCAGGCUAGAGUGCAGGAGAGGAAGGUAGAAUUCCCGGUGUAGCGGUGAAAUGCGUAGAGAUCGGGAGGAAUACCAGUGGCGAAGGCGGCCUUCUGGACUGACACUGACGCUGAGGUGCGAAAGCGUGGGUAGCAAACAGGAUUAGAUUCCUGGUAGUC
rnacentral:rRNA from 1 species